GUUAAUAUAUAAAAAAAAAAAAAAUUGAAGACUCAUAGUGAUAUGAGUCAUGCCAUUUGGACUAAAAAAUGCCCCUCUGAAUUUCAAAGAAUCAUGAAUGACAUUUUCAAUCCAUAUUCUGCAUUUUGCAUAGUUACAUCGAUGAUGUUUUUACUUUUUCAUCCUCCAUUGAAUAACAUUUCAAGCAUUUGAGAACUUUUGUGUUUGUUGCCAAAAAGAAUGGUUUAGUUGUCUCUAAGUCCAAGAUAAACCUUUUCCAGACUAAGAUCAGAUUUUUAGGACACUAUAUCUCAAACGGCACUAUUUCACUAAUGGAGAGAUCCCUUGCUUUUGUGGACAAGUUUUCUUAUAAAAUUCUUGAGAAAACACAACUUCAAAAUUUUUUAGGAUGUUUAAACUAUGUUCUAGAUUUUUACCCGAAUCUUAAUA
rnacentral:misc_RNA from 1 species